UACGAAGGGGGCUAGCGUUGCUCGGAAUCACUGGGCGUAAAGCGCACGUAGGCGGCUUCUUAAGUCAGGGGUGAAAGCCUGGAGCUCAACUCCAGAACUGCCUUUGAUACUGAGGAGCUUGAGUCCGGGAGAGGUGAGUGGAACUGCGAGUGUAGAGGUGAAAUUCGUAGAUAUUCGCAAGAACACCAGUGGCGAAGGCGGCUCGCUGGGCCGGUCCUGACGCUGAGACGCGAAGGCGUGGGGAGCGAACGGG
rnacentral:rRNA from 1 species